GUGGGGAAUAUUGGACAAUGGGCGAAAGCCUGAUCCAGCCAUGCCGCGUGUGUGAAGAAGGUCUUCGGAUUGUAAAGCACUUUAAGUUGGGAGGAAGGGCAUUAACCUAAUACGUUAGUGUUUUGACGUUACCGACAGAAUAAGCACCGGCUAACUUCGUGCCAGCAGCCGCGGUAAUACGAAGGGUGCAAGCGUUAAUCGGAAUUACUGGGCGUAAAGCGCGCGUAGGUGGUUCGUUAAGUUGGAUGUGAAAGCCCCGGGCUCAACCUGGGAACUGCAUCGAAAACUGGCGAGCUAGAGUACGGUAGAGGGUGGUGGAAUUUCCUGUGUAGCGGUGAAAUGCGUAGAUAUAGGAAGGAACACCAGUGGCGAAGGCGACCACCUGGACUGAUACUGACACUGAGGUGCGAAAGCGUGGGGAGCAAACAGGAUUAGAAACCCGGGUAGUCC
rnacentral:rRNA from 1 species